AACGUAGGUGGCGAGCGUUAUCCGGAAUUACUGGGCGUAAAGCGUGUGCAGGCGGGCGGGUAAGUGGGGUAUGAAAUAUCCCGGCUCAACCGGGAAGGGUUAUGCCAGACUGUCCGUCUUGAGUGCGAGAGAGGAGCGUGGAAUUCCGGGUGUAGUGGUGAAAUGCGUAGAUAUCGGGAGGAACACCAGUGGCGAAGGCGACUACCUGGCCUGUUCUUGACGCUGAGGCGCGAAAGCUAGGGGAGCAAACGGG
rnacentral:rRNA from 1 species